rnacentral:rRNA from 1 species
UACGUAGGGGGCAAGCGUUGUCCGGAAUUAUUGGGCGUAAAGAGCGUGUAGGCGGUCCGAUAAGUCGGCUGUGAAAGUCCAGGGCUCAACCCUGGGAUGCCGGUCGAUACUGUCGGACUAGAGUUCGGAAGAGGCGAGUGGAAUUCCCGGUGUAGCGGUGAAAUGCGCAGAUAUCGGGAGGAACACCUAUGGCGAAGGCAGCUCGCUGGGACGUUAACUGACGCUAGACG